CAUUUGUGACACAGCAAUACGUAACUAAUUCCCAAGCCCUCAGGUGAUUCUGAUGCAGGCUAAAGUUUGAGAACCACUGUUUUCAUACCAGGAAUGAUCAGUCACCAACUGAAUCAGAAUUUCUCACUCUUCCCCUUGCCUUUCAGUAAGGAUCGGCCAGAAGAACACAAGAAGGGAAGGGGGGUAUCUUCCCCUGCCAGACAGUUCUGGUGAGCCAGCCAGGAGUAGGCAUGCUGGCUGGAAAACUGCUUUCUCCUUGAGGCUGCUGCAGCUCAGAGAUCCUGGGACAUCGGACACAGAAGCUGGCAAAGAGGUCUCUUACCGCUCAUCCUCUAACCUGCUCUCUCUCUACAGCCACCAGCUCAGCUUUCACGUGAGACUUCCAGGGAAGUUUCAGAGGAGGGAACUGUGGGGGCCCAGGACAGUCUGCCUCAAGAUAUUCCACAAUGGCAUGUUGACUAUUUGAGUUAAAGUUACUUAAAAAGCCAAAAGGGGCUUUCUGAGCCUCCUGUCUCUGUUCCUCUGAAAGCAGGAAUGAAUCUCCCAUAUGAGAGGUGCCCUGCCUGCAUCCUUAUCACCAGAGCUGGGGGGCUGAGGGCCAAGAAGCUGCAUAGACAAACCUUGAUAACUCACUAACUCAAGUCUAAAUUCCUCACUAAUUACAUGCCUCAAACCUAAGUUUCCUUGUCCUGUCAAUUUUUCACAAAUUUAUGUUUCUUUGUGUAAAAGAUACAUAUACCGCCUGUUUUGUUCACUCUCCAAGCACAACUUCAUGAUUUUCCUGUGUGCAC
rnacentral:lncRNA from 1 species